AACGCACGAGACCUGCGGACCUGCGGAGGGAUCAUUAAUGAGAAGCUGCCCCUCGUGGGUAGACCUCCCACCCUCUGUGAACUUACCUUUGUUGCUUUGGCAGGCCCGUCCUCUGGACCGCCGGCUUCGGCUGGCCCGUGCCUGCCAGAGGAUUCCAAACCCUGUCUGUCGGUGUUGUCUGAGUCUAUAUGAAAUCGUUAAAACUUUCAGCAACGGAUCUCUAGAUCGGAAGAGCACACG
rnacentral:misc_RNA from 1 species